AAGAAGAAGAAGAAGAAAAUCUUCUGCAAUUCUCCAACGAUUUCCAUUUUCAUGGCUGUCAUUAAACAGCCAUUGCUUGUUCUU
rnacentral:sRNA from 1 species